rnacentral:rRNA from 1 species
AGCUCCAAUAGUGUAUAUGAGACGUGUUGCAGUUAAAACGCUCGUAGUCGAGGCUUGCCCAUAUAUUGGAGCACAGAUUACCGUGAGUAAAGCAGUCACUUUCAAAAAGUCAUAAAAAGUCAAAUGUUAAGCAUGGAACAUUGCCACUCUGGCUAUUGGUCAUUUGGUUAUGACCUACCAACUUCAAUAGGGGCAAUCGGGGGCAUUAGUACUGGUUGGCGAGAGGUGAAAUUCUUAGACCCUUCCAAGACUAACUAUUGCGAAAGCAUUUGUCAAGGAUGUUUUCA